rnacentral:rRNA from 1 species
GAUGAACGCUGGCGGCGUGCCUAAUACAUGCAAGUCGAGCGAACAGACGAGGAGCUUGCUCCUCUGACGUUAGCGGCGGACGGGUGAGUAACACGUGGAUAACCUACCUAUAAGACUGGGAUAACUUCGGGAAACCGGAGCUACUACCGGAUAAUAUAUUGAACCGCAUGGAUCAAUAGUGAAAGACGGUUUUGCUGUCACUUAUAGAUGGAUCCGCGCCGCAUUAGCUAGUUGGUAAGGUAACGGCUUACCAAGGCAACGAUGCGUAGCCGACCUGAGAGGGUGAUCGGCCACACUGGAACUGAGACACGGUCCAGACUCCUACGGGAGGCAGCAGUAGGGAAUCUUCCGCAAUGGGCGAAAGCCUGACGGAGCAACGCCGCGUGAGUGAUGAAGGUCUUCGGAUCGUAAAACUCUGUUAUUAGGGAAGAACAAAUGUGUAAGUAACUAUGCACGUCUUGACGGUACCUAAUCAGAAAGCCACGGCUAACUACGUG